GACGAACGCUGGCGGCGUGCUUAACACAUGCAAGUCGAACGGAAAGGCCCUGCUUUUGUGUGGCGCUCGAGUGGCGAACGGGGGUGUAACACGUGAGUAACCCGCCCCUGACUUUCGGAUAACUUUACGAAACUGGGGCUAUUAUCAGAUAGGAGCUCUUGCUGCUUGUUGUUGAAAAGAAAUUUUCGGCGGUUCGGGAUUGACUCGCGGCUUAUCCGCUUGUUGGUGGGGUAGUGGCAUACCAUGGCUUUGACGGGUAGCCGGCCUGAGAGGCUGACCGGCCACAUUAGGAAUGAGAUACGGCCCAGACACCUAGGGGAGGCAGCGGUGGGGAAUAUUGCACAGUGGGCGGAAGCCUGAUGCAGAAGCGCGGGGUGCGGGAUGAAGGGCUUGGGGUGGUAAACCGCUUUGGCCUGUGACGAAGAGUGAGUGACGGUAAUGUGUUAAGAAGCACCGGCUAACUACGUG
rnacentral:rRNA from 1 species